UGCGUAUUGUACAUAAACGGUGACGAUACGAAGUUAAAGCUUACUGCGGGCAACAAACAAUCCCUAGGAAACAGCAUUUGCAUGCCUCAAGUCCCACAUUUCGUAAGUUAAACAAAAACUGGCAACUGCCAGUUAUUUUUCACUAACGCUGUACCUGCAGAACAUGAGUAUGACCCCAAACAAACAAUUUGACACUUUACAGUACAAGGACCUCAAACAAAGGAGGUUCCAUAGUUGGUUGGAUGACUCAAACAUGAGUGGUCAUUUUGAGUUUGUGCCAAACUUCUAAUCUGGUAAACAUUAUUCAACUUGAGGAGGAUCUGUUAGCAGGCACAUGCCCAUAAAUAGUCCUGGGGUUUAAGUUAAAUCAAUGACUCCAUGACCUCCAGGUUACUCAAAAACAAUAAAGGCUUGUAAUUCAGGUUAAAAGGAUAAAAAGUGAGGAUAAACUGGCUAAAAUUCAUUUAAUUUGGGUCGAUCCAAAGGCAAGUUUGUUUUGCUUAUUUCAUGAACUCGAUACUUGUCACUUGUGCAUUUCAUGGCUUGUUGCACACAUGCAAUAUGGAAAUUAGGAGCAGAUGCUUUUAGGUUAUGUAUCAAAGUUACAUGGGGCUUGAAAUGAGCUCCUCAUCAAAGCAGCGGUAGCCUUGGUGGACACCAGACCUAGGGUUGGAAAAUUAAACUCAAUAAACCAGUUUUAGCUUACGUGCAACUUCAACCACAUCUUAUAAUGUCCAUCAUGCAUAUGAUGAGUCUCUGCAACACACACGUCCACAAGGUGGUACAUAUGAUAUGGUAAUGUCACAUCCGUAAAACCUGCGAUGGACUGGCAGCCUGUCCAGGGUGUACCAGGCCCCUUGUGCAAUAACUGCUGGAAAUAGGCUCCAGCUCCCCAUGACUGUUAAUUGGAAUAAGCGGGUUUAGAAAAUGGAUGGACAAUCAAAACACACUGCUGUUUGUAUCAAUCUGGUGCAUGGAGUUUGGCCAAACUUUAACGCAUUUAUCCUCAAUAUUUUAUUUUGAAACUUAAAAGAUGAAAUCUUUUUGAAAUUUUUGACUUAUGUUUACUUGUAAUCUAAAAGACGCAUGCCUGGGCUUUAACAGGGGCAGUCAGAGCAAGGUAAUUUUCAAAAAGUUAAUUCUUGAAGAAAAUGCAAUAAGUUUAAGUUUACUAAAUUAGCCACUUUGCUAUAAACAUAUUUUCAAUAAAUUUGGUAAAACAUUUUUUUAAGCAACAGGUAAUGAUGAUAAUUAUGUUAUUUAUAAAGCGUUUUCAAGACAAAAAAAAAAUCAUAAUGCUGCAUAAGCAAAACUGAAAAAUAAAAAAUAUUUGGACAAUUCCAUUUGGAACCUGCUCUGCAUUAAAAAGUGCAAAGCUCGAAAAAAAACUUUUUAAAAUGAUUUUAUAAAUUUGUGAAAUUUGAACAUUUAACAUAAAAUUACAUAAAUUUCCAAGGCACCUAAAACCAUUCAUACUUUUCCAUAUACAUGGUCAAAGAAUUAUUUGAUGAUCACAAGAAGGUAAAAUUUGAUGUUGCAUUUGGUCAUGAGUGAAUUGUUUGCAAUCAACACCUCCAAAAAUAAAUAGAUAAAUAUCUGGCCACACCUCCCAAAACAACCAUUUCUGAUGCUGCAGUUGCUACAAACUACAAUUAACAACCAACACCUUUACCAUAACUAGUUUAGAGAAACAAACAUUUCACAAAACGUGCUUGGAAUGACAUGCUGUACACAGAUUUUACACUUCAUUGCACAUUUCUUCAAAACCUCUCACAAGAACAAUCGUUGUCCUUGCCAGGUGAUACACACAAGACUGACUAUUUACUGGAGCGCCAAAGUUUUGGGGACAUUUUUGUGCAAAUUUUUACAUGCAGUUCAGGUUGGACCUCAAAUUGCUUUUAUCAUUUUUUUUUUUUUAAGUGUCAAGCUCCAAAUGUGAAAAUCUUCCUUUUGUAAUUUUAAAUAUUUACAUUUUGCUUACUUUUUUUUUUGUUGCAAAGAC